AACGAACGCUGGCGGCAUGCCUAACACACGCAAGUCGAACGAUCCCUUCGGGGAUAGUGGCGCACGGGUGCGUAACGCGUGGGAACCUGCCCUUAGGUUCGGAAUAACUCAGAGAAAUUUGAGCUAAUACCGGAUAAUGUCUUCGGACCAAAGAUUUAUCGCCUUUGGAUGGGCCCGCGUUGGAUUAGCUAGUUGGUGGGGUAAAGGCCUACCAAGGCGACGAUCCAUAGCUGGUCUGAGAGGAUGAUCAGCCACACUGGGACUGAGACACGGCCCAGACUCCUACGGGAAGCAGCAGUGGGGAAUAUUGGACAAUGGGCGAAAGCCUGAUCCAGCAAUGCCGCGUGAGUGAUGAAGGCCUUAGGGUUGUAAAGCUCUUUUACCCGGGAUGAUAAUGACAGUACCGGGAGAAUAAGCCCCGGCUAACUCCGUG
rnacentral:rRNA from 1 species